UUUAAUUGAAGAGUUUGAUCAUGGCUCAGAUUGAACGCUGGCGGCAGGCCUAACACAUGCAAGUCGAGCGGUAACAGAGAGUAGCUUGCUACUUUGCUGACGAGCGGCGGACGGGUGAGUAAUGCUUGGGAAUAUGCCUUUUGGUG
rnacentral:rRNA from 1 species